GACCAAGAGGUUUGGUUAUGUUUUUAGGUUGAAAAGAUAGUUAAGUAAUAUAACUUAAUAUAAUGAUUUUUUGUUAAAGGGUAAAAUUUGAAUACAAAGAAUUAAUUUUAUUUAUAUUUAAAUGCUGAAUCUAUGAUAAUUAUGAGGGAAACUGGGAUUAGAUACCCCACUAUUCAUUAUUUUAAAUAUAAUAUAAUUUACCUGAGUACUAUGAAUUUUAGGUUUAAAACUCAAAGGGCUUGGCGGUGUUUUAGACCUAUUAGGGGAACCUGUCUCGUAAUCGACAAUCCGCGAUAUACCUGACCUUUUUUUGUAUUCAGUUUGUAUACCGUCGUCGUCAGGUAACUUUUAAAAAUGAAGAAGUUGGCAUAAAUAAUAAUGUGAAUUUAGACGUCAGAUCAAGGUGCAGCUCAUAAAAAGGAGAGGAUGGGUUACAAUUAUAAAAUAGUAAUUAUGGAUAGUUUGAUGGAAAAAGCUUAAAGGCGGACUUAAAAGUAAUUAUGUAAUAUAUAAAUAUUUUGAAUUAGGCUCUGAAACGUGC
rnacentral:rRNA from 1 species